GACGAACGCUGGCGGCGUGCCUAAUACAUGCAAGUCGAGCGAAGUUUUUCUGGUGCUUUCACUAGAAAAACUUAGCGUCGCACGCGUGAGUAACACGUAAAGAACCUGCCUCAUAGACUGGGACAACUAUUGGAAACGAUAGCUAAUUCCCGAUAACAGUCUUUCUCGCAUGAGAGAUAUUUAACAGUUGUUUAUGCUAACACUAUGAGAUGGCUUUGCGGUGCAUUAGCUAGUUGGUGGGGUAAAGGCCCACCAAGGCGACGAUGCAUAGCCGACCUGAGAGGGUGAUCGGCAACACUGGGACUGAGACACGGCCCAGACUCCUACGGGAGGCAGCAGUAGGGAAUAUUCCGCAAUGGGCGAAAGCCUGACGGAGCAACGCCGCGUGAGUGAAGAAGGAUUUCGGUUCGUAAAGCUCUGUUGUUAGGGAAGAAUGGAUAUGGAGUAACAAUACAUGUAAGAGACGGUACCUAACCAGAAAGCCACGGCUAACUACGUG
rnacentral:rRNA from 1 species